rnacentral:rRNA from 1 species
UGGGGGAUAUUGCACAAUGGGCGAAAGCCUGAUGCAGCGACGCCGCGUGGGGGAUGAAGGCUUUCGGGUUGUAAACCUCUUUCGCUAUCGAACAAGGCCCGCUUAGGGUGGGUUGAGGGUAGGUGGAGAAGAAGCGCCGGCUAACUACGUGCCAGCAGCCGCGGUAAUACGUAGGGCGCGAGCGUUGUCCGGAAUUAUUAGGCGUAAAGGUCUUGUAGGCGGCUUGUUGCGCCUGCUGUGAAAACGCGGGGCUUAACUUCGCGCGUGCAGUGGGUACGGGCAGGCUUGAGUGUGGUAGGGGUGACUGGAAUUCCAGGUGUAGCGGUGGAAUGCGCAGAUAUCUGGAGGAACACCGAUGGCGAAGGCAGGUCACUGGGCCAUUACUGACGCUGAGGAGCGAAAGCAUGGGUAGCGAACAGG